rnacentral:rRNA from 1 species
AACGAACGCUGGCGGCAUGCCUAACACAUGCAAGUCGAACGAUGCCUUCGGGCAUAGUGGCGCACGGGUGCGUAACGCGUGGGAAUCUGCCUUUCGGUUCGGAAUAACUCAGGGAAACUUGAGCUAAUACCGGAUAACGUCGCAAGACCAAAGAUUUAUCACCGAAAGAUGAGCCCGCGUAGGAUUAGCUAGUUGGUGAGGUAAAGGCUCACCAAGGCGACGAUCCUUAGCUGGUCUGAGAGGAUGAUCAGCCACACUGGGACUGAGACACGGCCCAGACUCAUACGGGAGGAAGCAGUGGGGAAUAUUGGACAAUGGGCGAAAGCCUGAUCCAGCAAUGCCGCGUGAGUGAUGAAGGCCUUAGGGUUGUAAAGCUCUUUUACCCGGGAAGAUAAUGACGGUACCGGGAGAAUAAGCCCCGGCUAACUCCGUG